AACGAACGCUGGCGGCAUGCCUAACACAUGCAAGUCGAACGAGACCUUCGGGUCUAGUGGCGAACGGGUGCGUAACGCGUGGGAACCUGCCCUUAGGUUCGGAAUAACUCCCCGAAAGGGGUGCUAAUACCGGAUAAUGUCUUCGGACCAAAGAUUUAUCGCCUUUGGAUGGGCCCGCGUUGGAUUAGCUAGUUGGUAGGGUAAAAGCCUACCAAGGCGACGUUCCAUAGCUGGUCUGAGAGGAUGAUCAGCCACACUGGGACUGAGACACGGCCCAGACUCCUACGGGAGGCAGCAGUGGGGAAUAUUGGACAAUGGGCGAAAGCCUGAUCCAGCAAUGCCGCGUGAGUGAUGAAGGCCUUAGGGUUGUAAAGCUCUUUUACCCGGGAUGAUAAUGACAGUACCGGGAGAAUAAGCUCCGGCUAACUCCGUG
rnacentral:rRNA from 1 species